UAACACCAGCGCCACAAGUGGCAACCGCUUUUAUUGGGCCUAAAGCGUCCGUAGCCGGUUCAGCAAAUUCCCUGUGAAAUCGUUAGGCUUAACUUAACGUCGUGCAGGAAACACUACUGGACUAGGGACCGGGAGGCGUCAGAGGUAUUCUUGAGGGAGCGGUAAAAUGCUAUAAUCUCAGGAGGACCCCCAGUGGCGAAAGCGUCUGACGAGAACGGAUCCGACGGUCAGGGACGAAAGCUAGGGGAGCAAACCGGAUUAGAUACCCGAGUAGUCCUAGCUGUAAACGCUGCGAGCUAGGUGUUACGCAUUCUUCGGGAAUGCGUAGUGUCGAAGCGAAGGUGUUAAGCUCGCCGCCUGGGAAUUAUGGUCGCAAGACUG
rnacentral:rRNA from 1 species